rnacentral:antisense_RNA from 1 species
UUCUAUAGUGGGCCAUACCGGGCAGGCUUUUGCCUGGCCGGGUCCCUGGACGCCGGUAUUCCGACCCCGUACGGUUCGCCACCAUC